rnacentral:rRNA from 1 species
AUAUAUAUAUUGAGGUAUAGCCUCGGGUGAAUUGCCUCGGAGGUAAAGCACUGGAUGGGCUAGGGGACCUACAAGUCUACCAAACCCAACCAAACUCUGAAUGCCGAGGACAACUGCCCGGGAGUCAGGCAGCGGGAGAUAAGUUCCGUUGCCGAGAGGGAAAGAGCCCAGAUCGUCAGCUAAGGUCCCAAAAUCUAGACUAAGUGUAGAAGGAUGUGGGAGCGCUUAGACAACCAGGAGGUUUGCUUAGAAGCAGCAAUCCUUUAAAGAAAGCGUAAUAGCUCACUGGUCAAGCGACCCUGCGCCGAAAAUGUAACGGGGCUAAGUCUAGUACCGAAGCUACGGGAUCUCGCAAGAGAUCGGUAGGCGAGCGUCCUGAAGGAGAUACACGGUAGACGGUGACGACUACUAACGGCCUUCAGGAGUGACUAUGCGGGCAUGAGUAGCGAUAAACCGGGUGAGAAACCCGGUCGCCGUAAGUCCAAGGUUUCCUGGGGAAGGAUAAUCCUCCCAUGGGUUAGUCGAUUCCUAAGUCGAGGCCGAGAGGCGUAGGCGAUGGAAAGUAGGUUAAUAUUCCUACACCACCAAGGACGGCGUUGAUGUAAGCGGGGACGGAGAAGGAUAGCUCAGCAGGCUGCAUGGUUUGCCUGUUCAAGCCCGUAGGCUGAAUUGCUAGGACCCAAUAGGGACAAACGGCGAUUCAUUAAGGCCGAGAGGUGAUGAGGUCUAGCCCUAGGCUAGGACACUGAGUAAUUCCACGCUUCCUAGAAAAGCCGCGUACGGAGCCCCUUUGGUGAUCGUACUGCAAACCGACUCAGGUGGACGGGGUGAAUAUCCCAAGGCGCGUGAGAGAACCCUGGUUAAGGAACUCUGCAAAUUGACACCGUAACUUCGGGAGAAGGUGUGCCGCUGGCGGUUAGUGACUUCGCGUCACGAAGCUGUCGGUGGUCGCAGUGAAAUGGCGGUUGUGACUGUUUACUAAAAACACAGGACUCUGCGAAGUCGUAAGACGACGUAUAGGGUCUGAUGCCUGCCCGGUGCUGGAAGGUUAAGGGGAUAUGUCAGCGCAAGCGAAGCAUUGAACCGAAGCCCCAGUAAACGGCGGCCGUAACAAUAACGGUCCUAAGGUAGCGAAAUUCCUUGUCGGGUAAGUUCCGACCUGCACGAAGGGCAUAACAACAUCCGCACUGUCUCGACCAGGGACUCAGCGAAAUUACAUUGGGGGUGAAGAUGCCCUCUACCCGCGGAAAGACGGAAAGACCCCAUGAACCUUUACUGCAACUUGGCAGUGAUUUUCGGGUUGUUCUGCGUAAAAG